rnacentral:rRNA from 1 species
AUUGAACGCUGGCGGCAGGCCUAACACAUGCAAGUCGAGCGGAUGAAGGGAGCUUGCUCCUGGAUUCAGCGGCGGACGGGUGAGUAAUGCCUAGGAAUCUGCCUGGUAGUGGGGGAUAACGUCCGGAAACGGGCGCUAAUACCGCAUACGUCCUGAGGGAGAAGGUGGGGGAUCUUCGGACCUCACGCUAUCAGAUGAGCCUAGGUCGGAUUAGCUAGUUGGUGGGGUAAAGGCCUACCAAGGCGACGAUCCGUAACUGGUCUGAGAGGAUGAUCAGUCACACUGGAACUGAGACACGGUCCAGACUCCUACGGGAGGCAGCAGUGGGGAAUAUUGGACAAUGGGCGAAAGCCUGAUCCAGCCAUGCCGCGUGUGUGAAGAAGGUCUUCGGAUUGUAAAGCACUUCAAGUUGGGAUGAAGGGCAGUAAGUUAAUACCUUGCUGUUUUGACGUUACCAACAGAAUAAGCACCGGCUAACUUCGUG